rnacentral:rRNA from 1 species
UACGAAGGGGGCGAGCGUUGUUCGGAUUUACUGGGCGUAAAGGGCGCGCAGACGGCUCAUUUUGUCAGGCGUGAAAGCCCCGGGCUUAACCUGGGAACUGCGUUUGAUACGGAUGGGCUAGAGUUCGGGAGAGGAGAGUGGAAUUCCCAGUGUAGAGGUGAAAUUCGUAGAUAUUGGGAAGAACACCGGUGGCGAAGGCGGCUCUCUGGACCGAUACUGACGCUGAGGCGCGAAAGCGUGGGGAGCAAACAGG